UUUCCAAACAUGGGAAGAAAGUGAAAGAAUUAAAUUUUUUUAACUUAAAAAGAAAAUUAUUUAAAAAAGAAAUAAAAAUCACAUCAAAAAUUGUAUAAUUAUAUAAAAAUUAAAUUCAAUUCUUUUCUUGCAUGUUAUUUAUUCUGAAUGAAGUGAUUAUAUUUCUAAAUACGAGAAUUGACAGAAAAGAGAUGAAUUGGAAUCUUAUAAAUUUCUAAUUUUCAAUUAAAAUGAUUAAAUUUGUUGUUGUGAAAAUAGGUAAUU
rnacentral:misc_RNA from 1 species